rnacentral:tRNA from 1 species
GCGGGCGUGGCGGAAUUGGUAGACGCGCCGGAUUUAGGUUCCGGUGGGGUAAAACCCGUGGAGGUUCGAGUCCUCUCGCCCGCA